GGAACAUUCCAGGAGAUGAAAACAAAGAUUCCCUCCUCCUUCCCUUCCAUCUUACUGAGGACCCAUCAGUCACCCUUGUGAGUGCACUUUAGCCAUAGCAAGAGCAAGAUCAGAGAGAAAUAAGGACUUAUGACCAUUAGACCAGGAGACAGGAAGCGAUGGUUCUGGAAGGGGCUCUGUUACUAACUUUGGAAUUCAACUGUCCAGAUAGAAAGGUGGACAUGGAAAAAUUGGGCUUUGCAAAUGGUCACCCAAUUCUUGCCUUCCUGGUCUCCAGAUCACCCUUCCUAUACCGCCACUCUGGAGAAAGAAGUACAGAACGCUAACAAGAGGAGAUGAGCAUGUGAUUAUUGUUACCACUUGUCUGGAAGCAACCAGAAUGGAGUGGGGAAGACUCAAGGAGGAGAUCUUCACAGGACUCACCUCUCAUCACAGCUCCCGUGUGGUUGUAAUCACCCCAGAGGGAAAAAUAAUUUCGGUUUUUUAUGGUUUAAUUAUUGGUGAUAGCAGCUGUUUUGAAGACACAAACACAGAAGCAAGUUCUAGAACAUACUCACAGUUUCCUUGGUCACAGUGUUGUCAGUGGUUCUAUAAAGGUCUUAUGAAUCUCUACUUAGUUGACCACAAGUAGUAAGCAAGAAACAAUCCUGUAAAGAGAAUGGAGGUCAGAAUAAAGAAGCCUUGAGGGUUUAAAUCGCUUCUUGAAAAGGUAAUAAUAUUUACUCUUUUAAAAAUUAUAAACAAUACAUGUUCCUUUUACAGAAAAAAAAGAAAAAAAUAAGGAAACAGGACAUAAAACUCAUCUGUUAUUCCACCAUCUAGAUACAACUACUGUUAACCCAGGAACACUUAAAGAGUGUUUCAUGAAUAUUUAUGUAUACAUGCAAAUAUAUUUUCUAUCGGUCUUAGUUUACAAAACAGGGAUCCUAUUGUCCUUGCUGUUUUGUGACCUUUUCUUUCAUUGAAUAAGAUAUUAAUGAAUAUCCUUUGCCAGUAAAUAAACUUCAACUCUGUGGUGGACACAUUCUAAGAUGAUUCCCUUUGAUCCCCACCCCCUUGUGUUCUCACCAUUGUAUAACUGUGUGAUCACUCCAUUUGAGUGUGGGCUGAACUUCUGACUUACAUCCAACCAAUUGAAUAUCACAGUGUUGGGAUAUCAUUUCCAAGAUUAGGUUACAAGAAGACUCUAUCUUCUUGCUCAUGCUCUCUUAUUCUCUGGCUUGCUUUCUGCCAUGGAGCCAACUGCCAUGUCAUCAACUGUCUGCCCUACAGAAAUGCCCGUGUGUCAAGGAGCUAAGGGAGACCAGCCCAGGAGGAGCUGAAUCCUGCCAACAAUCACUUGAGUGAACUUGAGAGUGAAUCCUCUCCAUGUUAAGCCUUGAGGUGAUUGUAGCUCCAUCAAAUACCUUCAUUGUAGCCUUGUGAGAGAUCUGAGUCAGAGGAUGGAGUUAAGCCAAGCCCAGAUUCCAGACCCUCAGAAACUGUGAGAUAAUAAAUUUGUUGUUCUAAGCUACUAAGUUUUGGUGUAAAACAGCCAUAGAUAACUGAUACAAAUCACAUAAUUUUUAAUAGCUGCUUCAUAUGUUAAUAUGUCUGUACCAUAAUUUACUCAAUCUUUUGUUGCUGCACAUUUUGGUUAUUUUGUUUUGCUAUUAUAAACAGGGCUGCAAUGAAUAUUAUUGUACUUAAACAUUGGUACACGUUCUUCUUUCCUAAGGAUAAAUUCCUUGAAGUAAAAUAGCUGGCUUUCAAUGGGUAUGCAUUUUUUUAAAGCUUUUGGUAUGUUAUUCCCCAAUCACUUUCUGUUAGGAUUGUAUUCAUUUACAGUCCUGCUGGCUGUAGUUCAGGUUAAUUUCAACUACUUUAUCUUGAGUUGUCUCCAUGAAAACCAGUUAGAAACCGAAACCAAAGCCCCAAACAAGAAAAGCCCCAAACAAGAACCCAGGAAAGAAAACUAAGGUUGAAUCUUGAAAACUAUGAGAUAAAUUUGAAGCUAAACAAUUUUCAAAGUACCAUUGUUUUGAAAUAAGUCUGAUAAAUUCAACCACCCUCAAAUUGUUAUUCUUAUCUUUCAAUGGACACAGAAGUCCUGAAAAUGUGGUGAUACUCAUAGUCUUCACGAACUUUGAAAGGGAAAACAACAAUUUCUCUGGUUGAAGUCAACAUAACAAUAGGCUAGUUUGAAAAUCCUGUUUUUUUUCAGUUGCACAAAGGAUUGUCAAUAAAUUCAACUUUUUAAAUUACUAAGCUGGAUAAACUGAAUUCAAUAGAUUUUUUGGAAGCAUUUUGUAUACAUAGAUACCACCACCAUUUCCAAAUUGCAACCCUUACUGUUGGGGAAGAGUAAAUAUUUUAAUGAAUGCUAUAUAUUUUAACAAGCUCUGAACUCUGCGGUUGGUUUAAGCUAAGGGUGCAAUUUCAG
rnacentral:lncRNA from 1 species